rnacentral:rRNA from 1 species
AACGAACGCUGGCGGCAGGCCUAACACAUGCAAGUCGAACGAAGUCUUCGGACUUAGUGGCGGACGGGUGAGUAACACGUGGGAACGUGCCUUUAGGUUCGGAAUAACUCAGGGAAACUUGUGCUAAUACCGAAUGUGCCCUUCGGGGGAAAGAUUUAUCGCCUUUAGAGCGGCCCGCGUCUGAUUAGCUAGUUGGUGAGGUAAAGGCUCACCAAGGCGACGAUCAGUAGCUGGUCUGAGAGGAUGAUCAGCCACAUUGGGACUGAGACACGGCCCAAACUCCUACGGGAGGCAGCAGUGGGGAAUCUUGCGCAAUGGGCGGAAGCCUGACGCAGCCAUGCCGCGUGAAUGAUGAAGGUCUUAGGAUUGUAAAAUUCUUUCACCGGGGACGAUAAUGACGGUACCCGGAGAAGAAGCCCCGGCUAACUUCGUGCCAGCCGCCGCAGUAAGAC